CUACAGCAACAUCCAUGCACUCCCGCCAGCACUUGUCGCUUUCCGAGGUUGCCAUUUUAUAAUGAGGAACCGAUGCUAUUGUUUUGCCGUUUACAUCACCUUAUUCUAGACAUCCAAGAGUCAGCAAAUUAUAACCUAUUAUGUGGCUUGCGUGCGGUGUAGGCUACGGUCUCUGGUAGGGUCCCGUAAUGGCCGUUGUCCUCUGUCGACUUACUCGAUGCUGCAGACGGGUGCUCUCGCCUCCACUGCCGUGUUAUUGAGUGGAUUUGUGCGGCCUAUAUCUCCGACCUUCGAUACAACACCAUUUGUAAAUAAUGUACGAUUCUACAUCGGUUGCGAAGGACCUUGAUAGGCGCAAAACAAAUCUCUAAAAUAGUCCCGUCAACGCCGAUGAGACAUGACCAGCCUGUUCGGAACUAAAUAAAAACAACUCCAUGUUAUUGACAGCCAUUGUCAACCUGUAGCCUAUAAAUAAAUCCAAUAAAUAACAUUUGGCGAGGAAAACUCUUGAUUAAACAAUAUUGUAUUUUACGUAUUUAACUCAAGUUAGCUCGGCACGUAGAAUGAAAUAUAUUGCAGGUAACAACGAUGAUGCCAGACGCAUUUUCUCCAGUAAUAACAAAAGGGAUGCCGCAGUGAGAAAGCACUACCCUGUGUACCACCUGAACGAUGCAGAGUGCACUGGGAAGGAUGUCACCUCUCCUGAAGAGCGCCAUCAGGUGUUCCAUGAGCAUUAUGACAUGCUAUACCAGGAAGCUUCUCAAAGGUUUUCACAGUUUUGACCCCUGCCUGACUGGACUACUUUCCCGC